CAGAGAAAACCCCAAGGUAGUUUGCCCGAUGAAGUGCGACAAGUUGCAAGACAGUAUCCAAACCACGGUCUUUACAUUGUGGUCUCCGGUCCCACGGGUUCAGAUGGAAAUAUUUUGUGAUUUAAUCAAUAAUUACAAUAAUAUUUAUUGAUUAUGUUUCAGUUUUGUGAAAGAAUCUUUCUAGACAAGGAUCUCAUGUUCAUAAACCAGUGUUUUAGUUUUGUAAUUAUUCAAUUGGAAUAAGUGUAGUCAAAAUAGAAGAAAAUGAGAAAUUAUCAUCAUAAUAUAAAUGAUGAUGUUACAAAGUUCCUGAGCUUUUACCGCAGCAUCUACAGUUGUAGUAUUUGUAGGUGAAAAAGUGCAAUAACACGUUAUGUUCUACUUCAAUGGAGCAUAAUAUGAAAAUAAGUGUAGAGUGCAAAAGAGGGAAAGAGAAGGAGUAUAUAAAGCUUCAAUUGAAAAGUGACUGAAGUCAUUGACACGGGUGCAACGAUUGAUCAUUUUUUGAAGAUAUCAACCCGGCACCUCCAUCUACUGCAUGGGACAAUGAUCUUCAUUUAAUCCUGGAAUGAUUAAUUCCACAAAAAUCGCUGAAAACUCCAUCGUUCAUUGAUCGUCGACAUUUGUCAUUGCAGACGAGUGUCGAAGAACAAAAAAAAACAUCAAAAUCAAUGAGUGGACAAUAAAUAUCAGCGAACAAAUGAAUAUGGAGCCAUGGGAGAUGCUGAGAAAUGCAAUACAGAAGUGCUUUAUUUUCAGUCACUUUGGAUGUUGAUGGUCUUUAUAUCGCCCAGACAUUUCACACUGGGGAUCUCCUUGUUGUAGUGCAGUGUACUCGGAAAGCCUGCCCUGAGAUGCAGGUGUUUCUCGUGAGAGAAUUUUCCUACAGUAGUGUUUUGCAAACUCAUCAAUUUUCCAGACACAUCAAAUAAUAUUCCCACAUUCUAAUACGAUUGAUAUCUCGAUCUUUACGAUUCAUUUAUUGUAGUAGAAAUAUGCAUUAUUUAAGCAAAUAUAAUAAUUAAAAAGUACAAGAAUAUGUUGCAAAUUAAAAAAAAAAUCGUUGAGUACCUGAACUCAUGAUAUUUACGUUUAAAAUAUUUAAAAAAAAAAAUAUCGCAUACGUUUAGCUGGAUAAAUGAUAAAUUGUAACAAUGCCCAUCAUAUGGCAGAUAUUCCAACCGUCCCAAAUUUCAAAUGCAAGAAUUUUGGAAAGAUUUGUCAGGUUCUAGAUAAUUUUUGGUCAAUAGGUUUAAUUUGCAAUGAUUAAAAUACGGAAAUGACCUCUAGUUUUAACCCCUUUACUUUCUCAGAAAGAAGAAGAAAUCAAAUGUCAUUUCCGUGUUUUAAUCAUUGCAAAGGUUUAUCAGAUUGUUCAGACACAUUUUCAUAAAAUUUGCAACAUUCAUGGGCUCAACAAAAUUAAAAAAUAAUAAAUAUAGAAUUCG